GAGAGUAUAGCUCAGUGGUGGAGUACAUGCCUAGCAUGCACAAGGUCCUGGGUUCAAUCCCCAGUACUUUCA
rnacentral:tRNA from 1 species